rfam:Klebsormidium nitens mitochondrial DNA, contig: KFL_3731.
GGGGAAGUAGCUUAGUGGCAAAGCGAUGGCCUGUCACGUCAUAGAUCGCGGGUUCAAAUCCCGUCUUUCCCG